AGUUUGAUCCUGGCUCAGAUUGAACGCUGGCGGCAUGCCUUACACAUGCAAGUCGAACGGCAGCACGGGGGCAACCCUGGUGGCGAGUGGCGAACGGGUGAGUAACACAUCGGAAUGUACCCAGUGGUGGGGGAUAACGUACCGAAAGUUACGCUAAUACCGCGUACGACCUACGGGUGAAAGCGGGGGACUCAGCAAUGGGCCUCGCGCCAUUGGAGCAGCCGAUGUCUGAUUAGCUUGUUGGUGAAGGUAAAAGCUCAACCAAGGCGACGAUCAGUAGCUGGUCUGAGAGGACGAUCAGCCACACGUGGGACUGAGACACCGGCCCAGACUCCUACGGGAGGCAGCAGUGGGGGAAUUUUGGACAAUGGGGGCAACCCUGAUCCAGCAAUGCCGCGUGUGCGAAGAAGGCCUUCGGGUUGUAAAGCACUUUUAUCGGGGAAGAAAUCCUGCGGGCUAAUAUCCUGCGGGGAUGACGGUACCCGAGGAAUAAGCACCGGCUAACUACGUG
rnacentral:rRNA from 1 species